GGCAGCCCCUCCUGUCGCCGCGGGAGGCGCGAAGGCUGGGGUGGGGGGCGCGAGCCGUCCUGCGGGGUGGCUGCGAGGCUCGCACCGGCGAGGGCAGUGUGGGGGCGAGGGAGCCAGCGAGAGCGAGGAGCUGUGGGGAGUCGGCAGCAAACAGCCAGCAGGCUGCCACUUUGCUUUCUUUUUCUCGUUCUUUCUUUCCUAACCCCUCUUUGCAAAGCUGGAACUAUCCCGCGCGCCCCUGGGCCCAAGCCGCGGCUCCAGAUGUGGAUUUGUUUCCAGUGGGGAGAACGCGAGCUUCCCCCGGGCCUUGGCACAUUCUCCCACUCUGAGGUCAUUCCGUAGGUGGUCAGAGGGGAGCGCGCGCCGGGAGCCUUCCUCCCUCCAUCCACUGGGGAGGGAAGAGCGGCGGGUGGGAGGGAAGGAGAGGGAGAGGGGAGGGGCGCGAGGAGGGAGGGAGACGCCGCCAGCACACCACCAAGUGGCACCGAGCAGUGAUAACAAACUCAACUUAAAAAAAAAAAAGGGAAAAAGAAAAGGAAAAAACUUCCCCAAGUUGCAGCCCGAGACAUGCGGACGUGCGGGGCAGAGGCGCGGGGCAGGGAGUGCGGGUGGCCCUGAAACCCCCGGCGUCCCCCGGCUGCUUUCCCCGGCCACAGAGAGCUCAGACUCGAGGCCGACCAGGCCCUGCGCCUGUGCCUGGGCAGGAAAUGUGCUGGAGGCUGGCUCCGCUUCCCGCUGGAGACCCCGGGGCGGCCAGUUCCCGUGGGGGACAGGACCCCCCUGGAGCGGGGGCGGCCGAGAGACGCGCAGCACCCGCUUCAUCCCCAGCCACCAACAUCACCCCCCAUUCUCCCACCGCCGACCUUGCGGAUGUGGGUAGAUCCCGCCCGCCCAGGCCGAAGAGAACUGGGGUUUACAUGGGGGUGGGCGGGGUCUCUCCCCACACCUCUCUAUCCUCUCUGACGCCCCCAGACAUCUGAAAACAAGGCACCACCAUCUUCUGUAAUCGACUUUUUAUUAAGAUUAUAAAUUUAAACAAUCUGAACAGUUUUACCCGGUGAUAUACAAUUCAGUAUGCACAAAAAUACAGGGUAAUGAGGGAAAAGGGCCGAGAAAGGAAGGAUUGGCAACUCGUUUUGGAGUCCACACGGUGCUGAUGGCAGAGAACCAGAGGGGCUGCAGACGAACCCCACCUUUUUACAACAAAAGGCUUUUAAAUUAAACAAAUCUAUCGAGCUGAAGACACAGGACGGGGUUCUCACAGGCUCGAACAAUGCUGGUUUCAUGAAAUGCAACCGAAGGCUGAACCAAGGCAGUGCAACUUAGAAGCACACACACAAACACCACAGCUGACCAGGAACUUAGUGCAAAGUCUCCAACGCAGUCGGCGGUCCCGGCCCCUCCCUCCCCCGGGGCCGCCGGGGAUCCAGAGGGACUCGGGAGAGCGGAACGUCGGGCUUCCCGGGUCUGACAACUGAUUGGAAUCGGCUUCCCAGGUCCGGCGCCCUCCUGAGCUGCGCCCCCGGCGCGCCCCGGCGGCCAGGGCGCCCUGCCUCGCCCCCGGCUGCCCGGCACCUCCUCCGGGCAGCAGCCCUCCCUCACGUGGUAGGCUCCUCGCUAAACACCACUGCAAUCACUACAAUAAAAAGAAAAAAAGGAGUAGGAGAAACACAAAGCAUACUUAAAUAGGCGCUUUUUCUCUCUGCAAAAAUAAAGUCCAAGAUUUUAGAUUUCUUUUUUUUUUAUUUUACAAUUUAUAAAACAUCAGCCGCCUGCCCCCGCUCGCCCCCAGCUCAGCCCCGAGUGGCGGCCGGGGCGCGAGGGUCCCGCGGGCAGAGCGCAGCGGGCGCGGGCGGCGGCAGCGGCAGCGGCAGCGGCGCAGGACCCGGCUGCAGAGGCUCCAAGGGCUGCCCGCGGUGGGGCGCGCCGUGCGGCGGCUGGAGCGCGGC
rnacentral:lncRNA from 1 species